rnacentral:rRNA from 1 species
AGCAAUCCCUAGUACGGCGAGUGAGCGGGAAGAGCUCAAAUUUGUAAUCUGGCACCUUCGGUGUCCGAGUUGUAAUCUCGAGAAGUGUUUUCCGCGCCAGACCGCAUACAAGUCUGUUGGAAUACAGCGUCAUAGUGGUGAGAACCCCGUAUAUGAUGCGGAUGCCUGGUGCUCUGUGAUACACUUUCGAAGAGUCGAGUUGUUUGGGAAUGCAGCUCAAAUUGGGUGGUAAAUUCCAUCUAAAGCUAAAUAUUGGCGAGAGACCGAUAGCGAACAAGUACCGUGAGGGAAAGAUGAAAAGCACUUUGGAAAGAGAGUUAACAGUACGUGAAAUUGUUGGAAGGGAAACGCUUGAAGUCAGACUUGCUAUUUGGAAUUCAGCCGCAAGGUGUACUUUUCAAUUUGCAGGCCAGCAUCAGUUUUUGGGGAUGGAAAAGGAUUAGGAGAAGGUAGCAGUUUCGGCUGUGUUAUAGCUCUUAAUUGGAUUCAUCCCUGGGGACUGAGGAACGCAGCUUCGGCUUAGGAUGCUGGUGGAAUGGCUUUAAACGACCCGUCUUGAACCACGGACCCAAA